AUUCACAGACGGGUCCCAAAUAGAACGAAAUGCGCAUCCUGGAU
rnacentral:hammerhead_ribozyme from 1 species